rnacentral:rRNA from 1 species
AACGAACGCUGGCGGCAUGCCUAACACAUGCGAGUCGAACGAGACCUUCGGGUCUAGUGGCGCACGGGUGCGUAACGCGUGGGAACCUGCCCCUAGGUUCGGAAGAACUCCCCGAAAGGGGUGCUAAUACCGGAUAAUGUCUUCGGACCAAAGAUUUAUCGCCUUUGGAUGGGCCCGCGUUGGAUUAGCUAGUUGGUAGGGUAAAAGCCUACCAAGGCGACGAUCCAUAGCUGGUCUGAGAGGAUGAUCAGCCACACUGGGACUGAGACACGGCCCAGACUCCUACGGGAGGCAGCAGUGGGGAAUAUUGGACAAUGGGCGAAAGCCUGAUCCAGCAAUGCCGCGUGAGUGAUGAAGGCCUUAGGGUUGUAAAGCUCUUUUACCCGGGAUGAUAAUGACAGUACCGGGAGAAUAAGCGCCGGCUAACUCCGUG